rnacentral:lncRNA from 1 species
CAGAGUGCAAGUUACCAAGGGACCCGGUGACUAGGGAACAGUGGGGAUCUGGGCGCCUGGCCUGGAUUCAAAUCCCAGCUUGUCAUCAGGAGCAGCAAUGUGACCUCUCCAUGCUGUCUGCUACUGGUGGUGGAGUGGAUGGCUGUGAGGGUGACAGGGUCACCAGCACAGGCCCUUGAGGGCCCAAAUCAGAAAACUGAGGCUGCAGAUGUGAACUCAGGCCAGGACUUGAGUCCUGUCCAGGUUGCGUCCCCAGAUGUCAGGUAAGGAAAGCUGUGGUGCUUGGACAAAGCUGUCUAAUUUGGGGAUGAUGCACUGAACAAGCACUGAACAAAGACUUCUGCCCCGUGCCAGCUCUAAGACACCAAUCUGAUGAUGCCAGGCCCUUGCUCUGGGUCAGGCUGAGUCUUCAAGGUGGGUUCUGGCCCCUCCCUCCCAGUCACCCCCCAGCCUCAGGGGUUCCUUACUCCCGCAGUGGUGUGACCCAUGCCUGUCCUCCCUCUUCCCUUAGUCCACUCCUUUGUGGCCUGGAAGAGUUGUGGAGUCCAGGCACUGGGCUCCUGAAGGGAGGGGCCUGUGACAGGAAAUGAAGGGGGAGGGGGCAGGGAAGGCUGUAGGGGCUGUCAGAAGGCCCACAGGAGGAGGCUGGCCUAAGCCAUUGUCUGGGGAAGGCUGUAAAAAGCCACCUGGGAGUCCCUGGGCCAACAAUGGUCACUGGGGUCCUGACUACCAGGGAUGGUUUUACAGCCACAGGUGAGAGGUUGGGGCUGUCACAGGCCCUGGACCACUCUCACACUUCCUUCAGGAAAUCUGUCAGGAUCCCCACAUUGACUCCCUGACUCUCCUUGAGUUCUGAGCUAUCUUUGCCUACAGAUUUUUUUGAAUGUCUGCUGGGAAGACUAGGAGGGCAGACAUAAAGGGUAACAGCAUACAGCAGGCACUUGACCUGCUGAAGGAACAGCUUGUAGGCUACCAGUUUUCCUAUCUUUACUUUUAGCACAUUCACUUUCUAAAUUUACCAGCAGUGAAUCUGAACCCAUCUACCCAUUGCCUGUUCCUAGAGAAAGGUUCUAAAAGCAAGAAAACAGCAGGACCUUAGAGUAUGCUGGUGCUCUCCUGUGAUCCCAGCUACCCAGGAGGCUGAGGCAGGAGGAUCCCGAAUUCCAGGUUAGAGUCUGUCUCAAAAUAAAAAGGGCUGGAGGUGUAUUUCACUGGUAGACACCCCUGGGUGCAAUCUCCAGUACCACAAAAGAAAAAGAAAAAUUGCUAGAAUACAGGAGUCUUUGGCUCAGACAAAAACCAAAUAAAAAUAUCCCUUCCUAAUUUCAUGAGCACACGG